rnacentral:misc_RNA from 1 species
CCUAGAGUUGUAGGCUUUGCCUGCUAUCUCUUUCCCAUGUCUUUUGAGUACCUUCGUUUCCUCGGCGGGUCCGCCCGCCGAUUGGACAAUUUAAACCAUUUGCAGUUGCAAUCAGCGUCUGAAAAAACUUAAUAGUUA